rnacentral:rRNA from 1 species
CCUACGGGCGGCAGCAGUGAGGAAUAUUGGUCAAUGGACGAGAGUCUGAACCAGCCAAGUAGCGUGAAGGAUGACGGCCCUAUGGGUUGUAAACUUCUUUUAUAUGGGAAUAAAAUGUUCCACGUGUGGGAUUUUGUAUGUACCAUAUGAAUAAGGAUCGGCUAACUCCGUGCCAGCAGCCGCGGUAAUACGGAGGAUCCGAGCGUUAUCCGGAUUUAUUGGGUUUAAAGGGAGCGUAGGUGGAUUGUUAAGGCAGUUGUGAAAGUUUGCGGCUCAACCGUAAAAUUGCAGUUGAAACUGGCAGUCUUGAGUACAGUAGAGGUGGGCGGAAUUCGUGGUGUAGCGGUGAAAUGCUUAGAUAUCACGAAGAACUCCGAUUGCGAAGGCAGUUCACUGGACUGCAACUGACACUGAGGCUCGAAAGUGUGGGUAUCAAACAGGAUUAGAUACCCCUGUAGUC